CCUACGGGAGGCAGCAGUGAGGAAUAUUGGUCAAUGGGCGCGAGCCUGAACCAGCCAAGUCGCGUGAGGGAAGACGGUCCUAUGGAUUGUAAACCUCUUUUGUCAGGGAACAAAGGCGGGGACUAGUCCCCGGAUGAGGGUACCUGAAGAAAAAGCAUCGGCUAACUCCGUGCCAGCAGCCGCGGUAAUACGGAGGAUCCGAGCGUUAUCCGGAUUUAUUGGGUUUAAAGGGAGCGUAGGUGGAUUGUUAAGUCAGUUGUGAAAGUUUGCGGCUCAACCGUAAAAUUGCAGUUGAAACUGGCAGUCUUGAGUACAGUAGAGGUGGGCGGAAUUCGUGGUGUAGCGGUGAAAUGCUUAGAUAUCACGAAGAACUCCGAUUGCGAAGGCAGCUCACUGGACUGCAACUGACACUGAGGCUCGAAAGUGUGGGUAUCAAACAGGAUUAGAUACCCGUGUAGUC
rnacentral:rRNA from 1 species